CCCUAAUCUCAUUUAAGGGCUAGUAGACAGAAGGGAAAUAUCUUUAGUUGGAGAUUAUUUUCUUGUGGGUGUUUGCAGUGAGUAUUCCCCUAUGGAAUGGGGCCCAAACAGUGAAUGUGAGCAUAGUAAGGUGGUGGGAGGUGCAUUUCAAAAAUGGUGAUAAAGUUAUGAAAGAAAGCUUCAUCAGAGCUUCAUCAAUGAAAAAGGACUGGGAUAAUCUCUAAAGGAUAAUAUAGAAAAAAGAAAGCAUGGGCUGUAACACAGCAAGGUAGACUUGGUCUGAGUUCUGACAUCUUGACAAAGAAAGCAGAAUGACUCUAAGUAUGUUCAAGUAUAUUUUAGUGCCUUUGUGAGUGCGUCUUGCAGCUGAGAUACAUUGUUUCUAGUCAAACAUGAGGAUUAGUCUCUAGAUUUUCUAUAGACCUCCUUUUCAUGCAUGCUUUCACCAAGUCUGUUUCCACGACUUUUUUUUUUAACUGAGAGGUUUGAUGCCUUGAGGAACUGUCAUAAGAUGGAUAUAGUUGUUUUUCAUGUAUUACUAAUCUUGCUACAUUAGAAAUACCCAAAUAUAGUUUUUAAACAUUUUGAACCAAAAAACAGGCAAAGCUCAGUGUAAAACUUUCAGAUGUCAACUUUGCACCAAAUUUUUUGCCUCUUGUGGAUGUACUCUGGAUCUUGAUGUGAUUGCUUAUGUUUUAUAGGAGUAUAUGUUGAUUACAUACUACCUUUUGUAAUGAAUUUUCUUCUAAGAUCUUAAAAAAAAAAAUUACAUUAGAAUUGGGUUGUACAAAUCUUGCUCUUUUCCAUAACACUGCAAAAACAAUUUGAUUGUAUAAAUGUUGUAGUUUACUAUUUUCUAGUUUCUAUUAGAUGUCUUGUAUCUUGAGGUUGUCCUUUAAUGUCUGCUUCUUCUUCCCCUGUACCCAGCCAACCUUCAUAUGUACUUCUUACAGCUACUUUUCAGUCCUCAUGUUAAUUCAUAUUUACAUGUUGAAGUUGGCUAACCUUUUCCAUUUGCUAACUUGCUAACCAUCCAGCAGCUCUCAUUGGAUUCUGAGUAAUCAAGUCUUCAAAAAGAUCAGUUUACAUCUCUUACAUCCUGUGAAUAUAGAUUUAAGAAGUGGAAUUCUGAAAACCUUCACAAACACAUACAUUGAAGGUUUUGAGACAGAAAAAGGUUUUCCAAAAGCAUCUGUUUUCUGGGUUGUUUUCAAGAGGUCCUCUCCUGACCCAACACUCUGUUCAUGUAUGCUUCAGUUACUGCAAAUACUGUGUAAAGUUUUACUGCAAACUCUUCUGCUGUGUAUAAUACCUGAAGUAAGAAGCAGGAUUUUGCUGUUAAAUUCAUAAAACUUUUAUGUAAGAGGAAAAAGUAGACUGCCAGUAUAAAGAAAUGGUGUUAGGGGUGAGCAUUGUGUGCUUGUAAGCUAUGCAAGAUGCAUGUGGUCUAUUGCAAUGAGUUCACAGAGCCCUGAGCUAGUGCUGCUCCUGCCAGAACAUCUGUUCUGGCUGGGAGCAUCUAUAAGGAAUGCAACUACCCUGUUCGUCACAAGGUCAAACAUGCUUUCUUAAACCAAAAUGAUUUUUGACAAGAUGGAACACAAUUUGACCAGUUGUUGUACACUGAAAUUUUAAAUUAUGCACAUACUGUGUAUGACAGAUUUAUUUGAAG
ensembl:lncRNA